AGUCGAGGGGCAGCACGAUGUAGCAAUACAUUGGUGGCGACCGGCGCACGGGUGAGUAACGCGUAUGCAACCUACCUAUCAGAGGGGAAUAACCCGGCGAAAGUCGGACUAAUACCGCAUAAAACAGGGGUUCCACAUGGAAAUAUUUGUUAAAGAAUUAUCGCUGAUAGAUGGGCAUGCGUUCCAUUAGAUAGUUGGUGAGGUAACGGCUCACCAAGUCCACGAUGGAUAGGGGUUCUGAGAGGAAGGUCCCCCACACUGGUACUGAGACACGGACCAGACUCCUACGGGAGGCAGCAGUGAGGAAUAUUGGUCAAUGGGCGAGAGCCUGAACCAGCCAAGUCGCGUGAAGGAUGAAGGAUCUAUGGUUUGUAAACUUCUUUUAUAUGGGAAUAAAGUGAGGAACGUGUUCCUUUUUGUAUGUACCAUAUGAAUAAGCAUCGGCUAACUCCGUGCCAGCAGCCGCGGUAAUACGGAGGAUGCGAGCGUUAUCCGGAUUUAUUGGGUUUAAAGGGUGCGUAGGUGGUUAAUUAAGUCAGCGGUGAAAGUUUGUGGCUCAACCAUAAAAUUGCCGUUGAAACUGGUUAACUUGAGUAUAUUUGAGGUAGGCGGAAUGCGUGGUGUAGCGGUGAAAUGCAUAGAUAUCACGCAGAACUCCGAUUGCGAAGGCAGCUUACUAAACUAUAACUGACACUGAAGCACGAAAGCGUGGGGAUCAAACAGGAUUAGAUACCCUGGUAGUCCACGCAGUAAACGAUGA
rnacentral:rRNA from 1 species